GACAUUUAUACAAAACUACUGAAAAUAGAAAACAAAACUUAAAACAUUGGACUGGGGCUGUAGCUUGGUGGUAGAGUGCUUACCUCACGUGUGAGGCACUGGGUUUGAUCCUCAGCUCCACUUAAAAAUAAAUAAAUAAAUAUCAAAACAUUUCAGGUAAUGGAAAUUCUCCCUUCAAAAAGUCAUUAAGCAGAAUUAAUACUGUUAAAAUGGCCAUACUACCAAAAGCAAUAUACACAUUCAAUGCAAUCCCUAUCAAAAUACCAAUGACGUUCUUUGCAGAACUAUAAUUCAUUUGUAAGAAUAAAAGACCCAGGAUAGCCAAAGCAAUUCUAUAAGCCAUAAAAGCAAUGCUGGAGGCAUCACAAUACCUGACUUCAAAUUAUACUACAGAGCUGUAGUAACAACUGCAUGGUACUGGGAUAAAAGCAGACACACAGACCAAUGAUAGAGAAUAGAAGAUCCCAGAGACAAACCUACACAUCUAUAGUUAUCUGAUCAUUGACAAAGGGUGCCAAAAACAUACAUUGGAGAAAAGACAGACCCUCUUUAUUGGGGGGAUCAGGGAUUGAACCCAGGGUGCUCUACUACUGUGCCACAUCCCAGUCUUUUUUAAAAUUUUAUUUAGAGACAGGGUCUCACUGUGUUGUUAAGGACUUUGCUAAGUUGCUGCGGCUGGCUUUGAACUCGUGAUCCUCCUGCCUCAGCCUCCCAAGUCACUGGGAUUAUAGGCAUGCACCACCAUGCCCAGAAAGAAGGCCCUUUUAACAAUGGUGCUGGGAAAACUGGUUAUCUAUAUUGUAGAAGAAUGAAACUAGACUUUUAUCUCUCACCCUUUUCCAAAAUCAACUCAAAAUGGAUUAGACUUAGAAAUUAGAUCAGAAACUAUGCAACUCCUAAAAGAAAACAUAGAGCUAAACAUAGGCAUAGGCAAUGACUUUCUCAAUAAGAUUCCUAAAGCUCAGAAAAUAAUGCUAAGAGUUAAUAAAUGAGAUAGCAUCAAAUUAAAAAGCUUCUGCACAGCAAAGGAAACAAUUAGGAAUGUGAAGAGAGAACCUACAGAAUGAAACCACCAUAACCCAAUUAUACCAGUCCUCAGUAUUUAUCCUAAAGAAUUAGUAUAGUGUGAUACAUGCAUACCCAUGUUUUUAGCAGCACAAUUCAUAAUAGCCAAACUAUGGAAUUUACCUAGGUGUCUAUCAUUAGAUGAAUGGAUAAAGAAAAUGUGGUAUAUAUAUAAAAACAAUGGAAUUUUAUUCCACCAUAAAGAAAAAUGAAAUUAUGUUCUUUUCAGGAAAAGGGAUGGAACCAGAGACUAUUAUAUUAAGCAAAAUAAGUCAUAUUCAGAAGCUCAAGAGACAUAUGUUUUCUCUCAUAUGUGGAAGCUAGAAAGGAAAAAGGAAAAGAAAGCUGGGGGUAGAUCUCAUGAAAAUCAAAGGGAGAUCAGUAGAGGAAACGAACCAAGGGGUAGAAGUCAGGAAAGGAGGGGGGAAGUGCUAGGUAGUGACAUUGGCCAAAUUAUAUUGUUAUAUUGUGUGCACGUAUGAGUAUGUAACAACAAAUCUCAUCAUUGUGUACAAUGAUAAUGUUCCAAUAAUAAUGUGGGAAAAAAAGAAAUGCAAAAAAAAAGUAUUUAUGAUUUCAUUUAAGUACCAACUCUUUUCAGAGGGGAAAAAAAAAGUCAUUAAGCAGAAUAAAAUUGUUAAGCAGUUUACCAACCUGAAGAGAAUGUCCUUAAACAUUUGCAGAUAAACAGCUUGAAUUGAAAAUUCAAAACUUAGAACCAAAAAUGGACAAAACACUAGAAGUUUUGAAAUGAAAGUUUAUUGAAUUCAGGAAAGAAAUCAAAGAAAAAGAGAGUUAUCUUAGAAAUAAAUUGAAUAAAUUCAGAUGAAAAUCUAUUUGACAUUGAAGAAAGAUGUAAAAACAGCUAAGAGAAUGAAAACUAAAUAUAGGAAGGGGUUUGAAAAGAAUCAGAGAAAGUAUAUUAUAGAAAGUAGGCAAAGAUGGGCUGGGGUUGUGGCUCAGAGGAAUAGCGCUCACCUAGCAUCCGUGAGGCACUGGGUUUGAUCCUUAGCACCACAUCAAAAUAAAAUAAAGGUCUUGUGUUCAUCUACAACUAAAAAAUAAAUGUUAAAAAAAAAGUAGGCAAAGAAAGCCUAACACAAAUACAUUUGGAAGACACCUUAUCAGGACAGAAUUAAUAUAUUUAAAACUAUAAUACAAGAAAACUUUAUAAAAAUAGAGUUGUAAAUAACAUCAAUGGGCUCACUGUGAUUCUAGAAAAAUUAACCCCAAAUAAUCUACUCUAAAACAUCCCGGUAAACUUUUAGACUUUAAAGAACAAGAAAAAAUAUCAGGAAUCUAUCCUUUUUCAUACUUCCCUCCCAACAAAACUUAAUCACUUCCUGGAAACAAAACAAAACAAACAACACAAACCACUCAGGUUGACAUCAGAUUUUUAAAGGCAUCAUUCAAAGGACCACAAAGGGAAUCUCCAAGACACUCAAGUACACGUGAGAUAGGUAUUUUACAGCCAGUCAAGCUAUCUUCAGAUGUGAAGCCUGUAAAAAAAUAUGUAUGCAAGAACUUAGGAAACGUGCUUACAAGCCUUUCUGAGGAAUCUAACAGAGGUGAACUUCAUCCACCUAGGAGACACAUUUUGGCACAAGGACUGUUGAUGAGCAUUGAAUGUUUAUUAAGAACCUAAGACUAAAACAAGGGUAGUAAUAAAGAUAGGAAAAUUUGUUGUAUUCUUUUUUUUAAAUUAUUUUUUAGUUGUAGUUGGACAGAAUAUCUUUAUUUUAUUUGUUUAUUUAUUUUUAAUGUGGUGCUGAGGAUCGAACCCAGGGCCUCAUUCAUGCUGGGUAAGCACUCCACCGCUGAGCCACAGCCCCAGCCCAAAUUUGUUGUAUUCUGACAAACAUAAUAAUACAAGUAAAACAAAUAGAGGAGGGAGGAAAAAAAGGAAAGUAGACUAAGUUAAUUAAUUGUUGCAAAAUAAAUAGAUAUAGCUGGGCAUGGUGGCACGUACCUGUAAUCCCUGUGGCUCAGGAGGCUGAGGCAAGAGGAUCACAAGUUCAAAGCCAGCCUCAACAAAAAGCAAGGUGCUAAGCAACUCAGUGAGACCAGAUCUCUAAAUAAAAUACAAAAUAGGUUGAGUACCCCUGAGUUGAAUCCCCAGUACCAAAAAAAUAAAAAUAAAGAUAAAUAGGUGUAAGUCAAAGGAUAUAGGAAGCUGUCAAGCUAAAUCAUAGAAUCUUGAGUAAAAGAGAAGGAAAUUAAGGACAACAGUAUUAGUAUAUAGGUAAUCACUACAAAAAAAAUAUGGAACAUUUUUCUUUUAUUUUGGGGGUGCUGGAGAUUAAACCCACAGCUUCCCACAUGCUGGGCAAGCACUGUUCCACUGAGCCUUGUUAAUUACAAUUUUAAAAAAUGUCUUAGCCAAUAUAUCAAACAAAAUUACCAAUAAUAGGACAAAUAAUUAUCAUGUGCUUCCUGAUAUCUUGUACUGAGGAAGACACAAUAUCACCUACAUAGAAUUCUUGCCAAAAAAAUAUGUAACCUGUACCCAAUCUUGAGAAAAUAUGAGAUCAAUACAAAUUGAGAUAGUCUACAACAUAACUUUCCUGAAAUAUCAAUGUCAGGAAAAAAGAAAGAGUGGUGGAAGAACUGUUUUAGAUUAAAGGAGACUAAAGAGGUGAAAAUGAAAUGCAGUAUACAUUAGAGUAUUGGGUUAAAUUAAAAAAAAUGUUAAAUUUAUUGACUGUGUUAAUCACAUUACGGUUCUAGACAGGCAUUCAUUCCUAUGGGAUGCCUCCUGAUUUAUUGAGGGGUGAAAUGUCAUGAUGAUAUCUGCAACUUUUGAUGCUCCUUGACAUUGUUUAUAUACAUGCAUAUUCAUAUAUCUCACACAUACAGAGAGGGAGAGAAAAAAUACAAUAAAAUGUUAACAAUUGAUGAGUUUAAGGAAGAUACAUAUGGGUUUCUUGUACUAUUGUCUCACUUUUUGUUUUUUUAAAGUUUGAAAUUUUCUUUAAAAAGUUGGUAGAAGAAAAUAGACAUUCUCCUAAAGAAAAAUAAUUUAUUUAGAAAAUGAACUAGACUCAGGAAAUUUAAGGCAUUUUUCUUUGACAAACUGUUUUAUCUGUUUGUGGCCAGGGGCCAAUCUUUCAAAUCCAAUUCAUAAUGAGGCCCCUGCCCCACCCAGGCCUCAUUCCCAUGACUCCUCUCAGCUCCUUCCCUUCUCCUACACUGAAGAUGUGUUGGUCUCCACUCCUCUUCCUUUAUUCAUUUGGAACAGUACAGUUUAUUUUUCCUUCUGCAAAGGAGCAUGCUCAAGUGCUGACCUGACAGUAACUGCUUUCUGCUGGAGAAGAGGCAGGAGCGCUGAAAGGGGUGCUUUUUGGUCUCUUUGAGUUGGCCUUGAUCAGUUAACAGGCCCCUUUGGUUAUGAAAAGGAACUGGAAAGGGAGAAAAGAAGGGCUUCUUAU
rnacentral:lncRNA from 1 species